GUUCCAAGAGAUGCACAGCUAACCCUUCUCUCUAUUAGUUUUUCUUGAGGGUUCCUGCAGCCAUUUAGACAAAGGAACAUGCAUAUAUUGUAAAGGGAAAGAAGGGUGAAAAUGAAGGCAGAAUAAAAGAAAUUGCCCAUGCAGCGUGCAGCAUAUGAAUAUCUGAGAGGAAAAAUAUUGGAUGUAUUUCCAAACUAUAGGAAAGAAGCAGAGGAUCAUCUCUCAAAAGCUGUUAAGUUGAAUCCAUCUCUUACAGUUGCUUAGCUGUGUUUAGGCAACUGGAUUUGGAAGAAGGAAGAUCUAUCUGCAGCAAAGAACUGCUUCACUCUUGCAUUAAGCAAGGUAAUUUGACUUCAUUUGUGUUGAUGUUUGAGCAUGGAAUGGAGUUGGAUAAAGAUGAAUUAUUUUGAAGUGUUGGGAUAAAGAUGAGUUUGUAAAGCAUGACUUGGUAUUGGUUUCUAAAAUUUGAAUGUAUUGGGAAUGGAUAAGUUUGUAAAAAUAAAUGUAAAUUUUUCUAAUAUUUUAUUUUUAAAUUAUUGUAAGUGUCAAUUUUGAUCUCUAAUGUUGGAAUAUAUUUAUUUAAGCCUAUAUUAGACUAUCUGUUAUGAUUAUUUUCAGCUAAA